rnacentral:tRNA from 1 species
GCGACAGUGGCUCAGUUGGUAGAGUACAACCUUGCCAAGGUUGGGGUCGCGGGUUCGAGCCCCGUCUGUCGCUC